rnacentral:lncRNA from 1 species
AAACGGCCCCGUGAGAAGCUGCAGAGGCUGGUGUGAGAAGCUCAGUGUCGUCCGUUAAAUUUAGACCUGUGUCUUUGUGGAGUCUGAAGGCACUGCCUCCAUUGCUUCAGUUUCCUUUAUAAGUUUCCUGAUAACCUCAGCUGGUGUUGGAGAGUCCCAUAGAGUUCAAUGAGCGCUUGCAUAACAUUCUGUAAAUUGAAUUAUCUUUGCAUCAGUGGGUAAAGCACAGAGUAGCUGGGG